ACCGUUUGAGAGAUGGUAUGAAAGAGUAGAAGAAGCUAAACACACAGUUGGUUAUGAGUGCCAAAGGAUUGGGGCAGUGAAACUAGGCAAAUCAGCUUUGAUAAUACUGUGAAGUGAUAGGGAGAAAAAAUUACUAGCGAAGUUGCUGAUUUCACACUGACAAGAAAA
rnacentral:rRNA from 1 species